CUGUUGAUCGCCUCUACUCGACGUGGCCUCGAGCGACAAGUGACAUUCAGGAUAUAUUCAGCUGCAGUCCCUCACCGGUAGGGGGUGCUGCAGCCCCCUCGGCACCCCUACAUCUAACGUCCUUGAGUAGAUAACGAGAUCGUCCAACUCCCCAUUGGUCUGGAUAAUAUCAUGGCUGUAUGUAUUAACGUCGUACCAACAGACCUCAGAGAGAUGGUGGCAUUCUUUAUCCGCUGAUGUGGAUAUGGCGUAUAUGGGAUCGACAGAGUGGUCGACUGGGAGAUUUGUAACGUCUGACAACAGCCCCCUACUGUGUGUUUGAAAGCAGCUGUACAAGAGACGCUCAAGAAAGUUUGCAUCUCUAAAAGACAAGAUUAUCAGGAAUUCACUGAGCCUAAUUAAAGAAGUAGAGACUGCGUUCAGUCCCACAGCACAGUUUGUAAUCAUGACAUAUAGACCUUCAUUUUAUUGAAAUAUGAUUUCAGCUCUGUGGCUGUCGAGUUAAU